rnacentral:rRNA from 1 species
GACGAACGCUGGCGGCGUGCUUAACACAUGCAAGUCGAACGGAAAGGCCCUGCUUUUGUGGGGUGCUCGAGUGGCGAACGGGUGAGUAACACGUGAGUAACCUGCCCUUGACUUUGGGAUAACUUCAGGAAACUGGGGCUAAUACCGGAUAGGAGCUCCUGCUGCAUGGUGGGGGUUGGAAAGUUUCGGCGGUUGGGGAUGGACUCGCGGCUUAUCAGCUUGUUGGUGGGGUAGUGGCUUACCAAGGCUUUGACGGGUAGCCGGCCUGAGAGGGUGACCGGCCACAUUGGGACUGAGAUACGGCCCAGGCUCCUACGGGAGGCAGCAGUGGGGAAUAUUGCACAAUGGGCGGAAGCCUGAUGCAGCAACGCCGCGUGCGGGAUGACGGCCUUCGGGUUGUAAACCGCUUUCGCCUGUGACGAAGCGUGAGUGACGGUAAUGGGUAAAGAAGCACCGGCUAACUACGUGCCAGCAGCCGCGGUGAUACGUAGGGUGCGAGCGUUGUCCGGAUUUAUUGGGCGUAAAGGGCUCGUAGGUGGUUGAUCGCGUCGGAAGUGUAAUCUUGGGGCUUAACCCUGAGCGUGCUUUCGAUACGGGUUGACUUGAGGAAGGUAGGGGAGAAUGGAAUUCCUGGUGGAGCGGUGGAAUGCGCAGAUAUCAGGAGGAACACCAGUGGCGAAGGCGGUUCUCUGGGCCUUUCCUGACGCUGAGGAGCGAAAGCGUGGGGAGCGAACAGGCUUAGAUACCCUGGUAGUCCACGCUGUAAACGGUGGGUACUAGGUGUGGGGUCCAUUCCACGGGUUCCGUGCCGUAGCUAACGCUUUAAGUACCCCGCCUGGGGAGUACGGCCGCAAGGCUAAAACUCAAAGGAAUUGACGGGGCCCCGCACAAGCGGCGGAGCAUGCGGAUUAAUUCGAUGCAACGCGUAGAACCUUACCUGGGUUUGACAUGGAUCGGGAGUGCUCAGAGAUGGGUGUGCCUCUUUUGGGGUCGGUUCACAGGUGGUGCAUGGCUGUCGUCAGCUCGUGUCGUGAGAUGUUGGGUUAAGUCCCGCAACGAGCGCAACCCUUGUUCACUGUUGCCAGCACGUUAUGGUGGGGACUCAGUGGAGACCGCCGGGGUCAACUCGGAGGAAGGUGGGGAUGACGUCAAGUCAUCAUGCCCCUUAUGUCCAGGGCUUCACGCAUGCUACAAUGGCUGGUACAGAGAGUGGCGAGCCUGUGAGGGUGAGCGAAUCUCGGAAAGCCGGUCUCAGUCCGGAUUGGGGUCUGCAACUCGACCUCAUGAAGUCGGAGUCGCUAGUAAUCGCAGAUCAGCAACGCUGCGGUGAAUACGUUCCCGGG